rnacentral:lncRNA from 1 species
GGUAUUUUAAAAUUUUUGGGGUUUUUAUGGUUUUUAAGGGGUAUUUUUGGGUUUUUAGGGUUUUUAAGAGGAAUAUUUGGGUUUUUAGGGUCUUUUAGGGGUAGUUUUGGGGUUUUAGGGUUUUUAAGGGAUAUUUUUCUGUUUUUGGGUUUUUAAGGGGCAUUUUUAGGUUUUUAUGGUUUCUUAGUGGUAUUUUUGGGUUUUUAGGGUUUUAAGGGUUUUCAAGUGGUUUUUUUGAGUUUUUAGAGUAUUUAAGGGGUAUUUUCGGGUUUUUAUGAUUUUUAAGGGGUAUUUUCGGGUUUUUCGGAUUUUUAGGGGAUUUUUGGGUUUUUAAAGGAUAUUUUUCUGUUUUUCGAGUUUUAAGGGAUAUUUUUGGAUAUUUUUUGUUUUUAUAAUAAAAAAAUAUCCCUUAAAAACCCUAAAAAUCCGAAAAUACCCCUUAAAAACCCGAAGAACCCGAAAAUAUCCCUAAAAAUCCUAAAAACUCAAAAGUCCCUUAAAACCCCUAAAAACCCAAAAUUAUCCCUUAAAAACCUUGAAAACCCAAAAAUACCCCCGAAAAACCCUGAAAAUCCAAAAAUACCCCUAAAAAAACCUGAAAACCCAAAAAUACCCCAAAAAAACCCUAAAAAUUCCCUUUAUCAAUCCUAAAAACCCAAAAAUACAUCUUAAAAACCAUAAAAUCCCGAAAAUACCCCUUAAAUACUCUAGAAACCCAAAAAUAGUCCUUAAAAACCCAAAAAUACCACUAAAAAUCACUAAAAACCCUUAAAACACUUAUAAACCCCUAAAAACCAAUAUAAACCCCUAAAAAUCACUAAAACCCCCUCAAAAUACUUAUAGACCCCUUAAAAAUCAUUAUAAACCCCUAAAAACCACUAAAACCCCCUCAAAACACUUAUAAACCCCUAAAAAC